UCCCUGGUGGUCCAGUGGCUAAGACUCCUCACUUCCAAUGCAGAGAGCCUGGGUUCAAUUCCUGGUCGGGGAA
rfam:TPA: Bos taurus chromosome 21, whole genome shotgun sequence.